CGCCGCCGGCCCGCCCUCCCCGUCACGUGCCGGGGGCGCGCACCGGGUGCACGAUGAUGGUGGCGGCGGCGUCCGGCGGCGGCGGGUAGAAAAUGGCGGAUUUCGAGGAGCUCCGGAAUAUGGUAUCAAGUUUUCGUGUUUCUGAACUGCAAGUGUUGCUGGGGUUUGCUGGACGUAACAAAAGUGGGCGCAAACAUGACCUCCUGAUGAGGGCUCUGCACUUAGUGAAGAGCGGCUGCAGCCCGGCAGUUCAGAUCAAAAUACGAGAACUCUAUAGGCGUCGGUACCCCAGGACGAUCGAGGGGCUGUCAGAUUUAUCGGCAAUAAAACCCACGGCUUUCAACUUGGACAGUAGUUCCUCUCCUGUGGAGCCUGACCUGGCCGUUUCUGGCAUUCACGCACUCCCUUCUACUUCGGUCACGCCUCAGUCUCCUUCCUCGCCUGUCAGGUCCGUGCUCCUCCAAGACACUAAGUCCCCCUUUGAGAUGCAGCAGGCGUCCCCUCCAAUCCCACCAGUUCAUCCCGAUGUCCAACUGAAAAGCUUACCUUUCUACGACGUGCUUGAUGUGCUCAUAAAACCCACGAGUCUAGUACAGAGCAGUAUUCAGCGAUUCCAAGAGAAGUUUUUUAUCUUUGCUUUAACACCCCAGCAAGUCAGAGAAAUCUGUAUUUCCAGGGACUUCUUGCCUGGAGGCAGGAGAGAUUACACAGUCCAAGUUCAGCUAAGAUUAUGCCUAGCAGAGACAAGCUGCCCUCAAGAAGAUAAUUAUCCUAAUAGUUUGUGUAUUAAAGUAAAUGGGAAGCUUUUUCCAUUACCGGGAUAUGCUCCACCACCAAAAAAUGGAAUUGAACAGAAGCGACCUGGCCGUCCCUUGAAUAUCACAUCUCUAGUUAGGCUGUCGUCAGCAGUGCCAAACCAGAUUUCCAUUUCCUGGGCUUCUGAAAUUGGAAAGAGUUACUCCAUGUCUGUGUAUCUCGUCCGUCAGCUCACUUCAGCUAUGCUUUUGCAGAGGUUAAAACUGAAAGGUAUCAGAAACCCCGACCAUUCCAGAGCACUAAUUAAAGAAAAGCUAACUGCAGAUCCUGAUAGUGAGAUUGCUACAACCAGUCUGCGAGUAUCUCUGAUGUGUCCUCUGGGAAAAAUGAGACUGACAAUCCCCUGCCGGGCUGUGACUUGCACACACCUGCAAUGUUUUGAUGCUGCUCUUUAUCUUCAAAUGAAUGAAAAGAAGCCUACCUGGAUCUGCCCUGUCUGUGACAAAAAGGCAGCUUAUGAGAGCCUAAUACUAGAUGGGCUCUUUAUGGAAAUCCUUAAUGAAUGUUCAGAUGUGGAUGAGAUCAAAUUCCAAGAGGAUGGCUCCUGGUGCCCCAUGAGGCCAAAGAAAGAAGCUGUGAAAGUCUCAAGUUCUCAGUGUACCAAAAUUGAAAGUUCCACUGUUGUUAGCAAACCCUGUCCUGUGACAGUGGCCAGUGAGGUUAACAAGAAGAAAGUUGACGUUAUCGACCUGACAACAGAAAGCUCUUCCGAUGAAGAGGAAGAUCCUCCUGCCAAAAGGAAGUGCAUAUUCAUGUCUGAAAUACAAGGGAGCCCAACCAAAGGGGUUCUCAUGUACCAGCCAUCCACUGCCAGAGUGCCCAGCGUGACGACGGUCGAUGCUGUUGCUAUUCCUCCUUCAUUAACAGAGUACCCAGUACCAUUCCAUCACCCACCAAUAUCCAGUAUUUCAUCAGACUUGCCAGACACAAAACGGGGAUGAUAUUAGAAAUGUUUCCUUAUUGGCUGCCCGUGGGUGGAGGAAGAGACCUGCUGCUUGUUUUUGGACUUGUGCAUGUUGUGACUUUACUUCAUUCCAGCAUCUUUAAUGUGAUGACACUCUUCAUGUCCCAGUUUGGCCAAGUCAGGUCUGGAUUUUCUUUCGCUAAUCCCAGUUGAUUCACAGUACUGUCCUCCUAUGUUUUUGGAUAGUCUCACCUCAACCUUAACAAGCAACACGCCUGGCAGCAUCAUCACCUCAGCCAGCCACCAGGAGAGCAGCACGCUCGUUAGCUCCUCGGGCAGGGCCGAGCCCGAGGCCGGGGUGAUAACCAGCAGCAGCAGCAACAGUGCUCCUGACGUCAUCUCCCUGGACAUCAUCUCCCUGGACUGACACUCGGGGCAGCAUGGGGACUCCCGCAGGCAUUGCACAGAGCUGCAGCUCCUCCCUCUGGAACUCCAGCGUCAUCACCCCGGAGGUCAUCCUGGUUUUUAUUUUGAAAGGAUUUCCCUUCUGGAAAGUGGGGUAAAUUUUGUUGAUGCCAGGAGACAGAAGCGAUAGGUUGGUUGGUUGAUUGAUUUGUUUGUUGUUUUUUUUUUUUUUUUCCCCUGCUCAUUAAGUAGCUGGCGUAGAAAAGGCCCUUGGAGAACAUGUGUUUUUGCUUUUGGUUUGUUCUGGGAACACUGCCUUUUUCUUGCUAGGUGGAUUCCAUAAAUGUUUUCUAAUUUGGUUGUAAAAAACAGCAAUAAUGUAAAAAUUAAUAAGGUUGUGUUUUUUUUUUUUAAUAAAUAAAGGAACUUAAUCACUCUAGAACAACAACCUGGAUAAAGGUGCAGAAGUGUAUGAGUUAGUGAAUUCUUAAUAUUUUCACUGGGGCCUGUAAUAAACUUCAUUAAGACAAUGAAGCUUUGAAAUAGCCAUGAUGUGUUGUUUGUCUUGUUCCCCACCUCCCCCUUACCUGGGGAUAUAUAAGAAACCUCUGUAAAUGGGAUUGUUUGGGGGGGUUUUUUCCUAAUUUCAUGUCUUUCUCAAAUGCAACAAGAUCCUAGGCUGUGACUUCUUCCUCUUUUUGUUCUUUGGGCUGGGAAGGGGACAGACUAUCUAUGCAAACCCUACAUCACACAGUCUCUGUGCUGUCAUGUCGGAAUCAGGACACAUCCCCACCACCAAAAACUCCCAGCUAUGCAGUUGAGAGUACAGUUGUUUCUGUGCCAGCUGUAAGGAGAUAAAGUGGGAAUUACUUUCUCAAGUGCAGAUGUAUUUGCAAGGAUUUCUUGCUCAUGGUUUCUGUCACUUCAGUAAUUGCUGUAUCCCACAUGGGAAUACUGCACUUGGACUGUGGGGGAGGCUUGGCUUUUUUGGAAGGCAGAAGCCAUAGCUGCACAAUGUCCCCACCUAAUUGGAAUUAUGUGUUUAGGGCUCAAUGAUGCUUUGUCCCAUGUUUCCUGGCCUCCUGAUUGUUGCUUUUUUACUUUAAAGGGAACAAUUUCCUCCUGUUUUACUCCUCCAAGUGUGCUGCUUUGUUCGUGUGUGUGCAGUGUCUGCCAUACACCUGGGGAUAACCUCAGCAGUACUGUAUGUGGAAGAGGUUACAGUCUAGGAAAAACAAGUCAUUUCCAUAGAGCUGGAAUAAUGGUAUUGUCUAUGUAUGCUGACAUAGCAGCUUUUCCAAGUGGUGUGUUUCUGUUGAAUAAAUGUAUUUGAGAUUAUUCCUUCCCUAAUGUGAAGGUUUCACUUUUUUUCCUAAUUUUAUGUUCCUCUUUUGUUAUUUCUUUAAUUGGAUGUCUGGUGCUUUUUGCUCUCCAUUGCUGUUACAGUAUUGAACGAAGUACAUGGAUGAGAAAUAUUGAAGCAGAAUGUUUUGUAACUCUUGUUUGCCCUGUACUCCCACCUUUAAUGCUGCAUUACUGUUCCUUAUUGCCUUUUUUGUAUGAUAUUUCACAGCAGUCUUGAGUUCACAUGUUGGUCUUAAUAGUGCAUCUAGUCUUUUUUCUUUUCCUUAUCUGUUUAAUUUUUUGUACCUGUUAAGGAUCAGUUUUUAGCAUGAUUUAUUUCCUAUAAAACCAUGCUUCUCAGGAAGUUUUUCCUGAUGACCUGCAGCAGAUCAGUGCUUUCUGCAUCACCAUUGCACAGUGACUUGACCUGUAAGUAGAGUGUGGAGAGGGGCUCCAGAAUAAAGCAUUUAAAACUGGU